rnacentral:tRNA from 1 species
AAAUAAGAAGUAAAUACUUACGUUUAGUUUCGACCUAAAAAUUUGAUACAAUAUCCUUAUUUU